AGUUUCUUAAUAAAAUGAAUUAUUCUAUUCAUAUAGAUCAAUAUUUAGUCCUAAAAAUGAACACGCUCAGACCAUUAAAUUUUCUCAAUAAAUUGUUGUUAUACAUCAGUAAUUUUUUUCAAUAAAAAAAUUGAAAUGAAUUCAUGUAAAUCAACCUACAGGAACAACAAAUUACAUCAGUAAGAUUAUGCUUAGGUCAUUUAUAUCAGUUGAAAUUCACAUUAGUAAAGAAAUUAUAAUGCAGAAAAAGGACAAAAAUCAUAGAAUAUCUACAGCAUUUCCUCAAAGAUUUUCUUGACACUCUCCUCAAUCCCACUCACUUGCAUUAAAUCAGGGAUCCUUCUAACAAAUUGAUUGAAUUCUUAUCCAAAAUUUCCAGUUGGAUUCUCUUCCCUCACUGCUCUAUAAAUAAGAGCUUACUCCAUCACUGAAAAGGGGAAGAAAAUUGGUAGUGUUACUCUGCUGAAAUUUACUCAAAACCUUACCAAAAGCUCAUAAUAUUCAAACUAUUCAAAGUCUUUCACUGAAACUCUGAAAUAGUUGAGCUGAACCUUAAUACGGAUAGUAUUCGACGCAUUAAAACAACCGCACAGUAGAGAAAGGAGAGAUCAGAAGAAAAAAAGCUGAAGAAAAACGAAUAGGAGACAACAGACAGAACCGAAAAGAACACUUACUUGAGGUAAACAUGGCCGCCGAAGUCUCGCCAGAAGUGUAAAUCUGGCGAGCCCCUUUUACCCUCCGAUUUUAGAUUUUUCAAACGCUGAGGCUCCAUAUUUCUGUUGAUUGGCAUGAUUAAUUUGAUGUUGAUGAAUAUCCUUUGUUAAAUCAUAUUAGAUUUUGUGUUAGGAUUUUCGAUUUGUUCAGAUCUGUUAGCGAUUUUGAAUGUGGGUAAAAAAUCAAUUUUUGUUUCAGAUCUAUGAUGAUUGUUUGCAUCAAUAGAUUGUUGAUUUGGAUUGGUUUGACAGAAAUACAAGUCUCUAUUGAAGAACAUCAAUCGGUGUUCAUCAGUUCUUUUUUUUUCCUAUAAAGAAAUGGGAAAAGCAUUGUUUGAUAUUUUUUUCAUGCCGGUUGGUGUUUGUUUUCAUAUGUAUGAUUCGAAAUCGAAAAAACAAAGUGAAAGAAGGUUUUGGAAAGAAGAACAGAGGGAGAGAUUCAUGAGAGAGAGUAGUUUGUUUGGAAUAUUAGAGAGAGUUUGUGUUUCUCAAUUUUGUUUUCUUACGGUUAUAGCUAUUGCAUUUUUGGUUUCUUUUCAUAUUUGGUUUUAAUAUAUUUAUUGUUGUAUAUUUAUUACUAUGUUGAUAUGAUUAGAAUAUCUCUAUGUUGAUUGGAAACAUGUUCUUCUAGGAAACACAAAGUCCAAAUUUUAUCUUAUUGCGUUUAUGAGAUUGAAUUCA
rnacentral:lncRNA from 1 species